UUUGAGAAGGUAACAUUUGUAUGUAUUGACUAAAACCAGUACAUGGAUUGUACUGAAACCAUAAUUACAACAUAUCAACAAAACACGAUAUCUGAAUCUAAAAUCUAACAAGAGCGAAGGAUCUCAAUAAUUGAUUUAGUAUCCUCUAGGUACAUCUGUUUGCACCAGAAAUAAAAAAGUCUGAUACAGUUCAAUUUGAUCUUCUCAAGAUCACAACUUUUUCUCUCAAAACAUCUAGCAUUUCUCUCUCCAGAUUGUCCACCAAAUACAGACUGGGACAAUCCUCCAUCGGUCUCUGUAUGAAGCUCCCACACCUACCUCUUUCCAACUGUAGAGAAGGUGGGUGAUUCUGUUAGGCAUAGUCCAAACAAUACCCCCGAGGCUGAUAAAAAUCCUCCAAAGUUGGGUUGUUACUGACCAUCUCAACCUCUUCUCCACACAAAUAGCAUCUGGAGCACAUAAAGAACUUCCUCUUCUUGAGACUUUCUUGUGUCAGGACUACUUCUCUUGCCAGUAAUCAAGUAAAACAUGCCACCUUAAAGGGGAUUUUUGUAUUCCAGAUCUGUUUUCAUGGCCAUUGUGGUGGCUGUUGUCCACCUUGGUUCAAAAAUUUGUAUGCUGAGUUCACCUUAAUCAUGCCUUUGCUAUCUUUGUUCCACCAUAGUCUAUCAACCUCAUCCUUUGCCCCUUUGAACUCUUCCAAAGCUCUGAAAAAUUCUGUUACGGUUACAAUUUCCUAGUCAUUAAAAUUCCUUCUAGCUGGAUGUUCUGUCCUUGUUGUGUCCAACUGUCAGCCAAACUCAUUUGUUGAUGUACUGCCAUAACAUACAUCUCAGGUAAAAGGUUCUUUAAACUAGCAUGUCCCAGCCAUUUGUCCUCCCAAAAGGUCUUACUUCCAUUGCCUACCCUCACAGUUGUGUUAUUUUCAAAAAAGGCCAAAAAGUUCUGAUAGACCUCCAUAGACUUACACCAUAGGGUGUAGAUACCUCCUUUGUCAUCCAUAUGUUCUCCUCUCCCUAUUUAGCUUUAAUUACUUUACCCCUGUAUGCUUGAGGCUGUUGUGAGUAUCUCCAUAACCACUUCAGUCUAAGUCCCUUGCUUUGCAUUUUCAGAUUUCUUACUCCUAAAACCCCCUUGCUUCUUUCCCCAAAGAACCUUGUUCAAUUUGACCAAGUGCUGAACAGUAGUCAUUUUCCUUAAUCCCUUUCCAAAGAUAAUCUCUCCUAAUCUUGUCUAAUCUUUGUAUCACUCCAUCAGGAAUGGGAAAGAUAGACAUCAUGUAGGUUGGAACUUGGAAGAGCAUCCAAAACAGAGUUGAUGAGAGUGACUCUGCCACCUAUGGAGAUGUACUGAGAUUUCCAUCUAAUUAACUUCUCACACUUUUCAAUCAAUGAGUUCCAAAUGCUCAUUGCCUUUGACUUGGCACCUACAGGCAUACCCAAGUACAUAGUAGGCAGGGAGUUGUCUUUACAGCUUUUGUCGUCACAUAUCACAUCAUCCAGUUAUCUUUUUCUUUUUUUGUCCCAAUGCAUGCAAAGCAGUCUUGUUAUACAUUCUCUUUAUAUGUUGAUGUCUGUUGAUGGUAGCCAACUAUGUCAAUUAGAACACUAGCUGGCAUCCGCAGCUCAAAUGUAUAGCAGUUGAUCAUCAUGAAUUGACUUAUUCAUUCUGGAACAUCUUCUUUGAAUAACAUUUGAAGAACCUGAAGAGGAUGAUACCACGUUGGAAGUCUUUCUUAGCUUUUCUUGUUUUCCUCAUUUAAGAGUGUUUGGCUGUCCCUAUAUUUGUUUUGUAAUGCGAUUAAUAUUUUCUUUUGAUGGAUAUUUGUGUU